UCCUACGGGAGGCAGCAGUGAGGAAUAUUGGUCAAUGGACGAGAGUCUGAACCAGCCAAGUAGCGUGAAGGAUGACUGCCCUAUGGGUUGUAAACUUCUUUUAUAUGGGAAUAAAAUGUUCCACGUGUGGGAUUUUGUAUGUACCAUAUGAAUAAGGAUCGGCUAACUCCGUGCCAGCAGCCGCGGUAAUACGGAGGAUGCGAGCGUUAUCCGGAUUUAUUGGGUUUAAAGGGUGCGUAGGCGGGACCUUAAGUCAGCGGUAAAAUUGCGGUGCUCAACGCCGUAGAGCCGUUGAAACUGGGGUU
rnacentral:rRNA from 1 species